UUAUGUUUCGAAGCUGAUGACAUCGGUCCCU
rnacentral:piRNA from 1 species